rnacentral:other from 1 species
UCUGCCCUGCGCUGCUCGUGAUUGGGUGACAGGUUAUUUUGAGCCAACACUUACAAAAAUGGGCCGCUCGCCUCUGGCGGCCGGAGGUGGACCCCGCAAGACCGGGGACCCGAACCGGCGGUCACGCCUGGCCCACCUGGUUAGCCAGGUUCAAAACAAAAUCAUCCACACGGCAGCGGCGGGGCAAUC